GAUGAAGAACGUAGCGAAAUGCGAUAAGUAGUGUGAAUUGCAGAAUUCAGUGAAUCAUCGAAUCUUUGAACGCACAUUGCGCCCUUUGGUAUUCCUUAGGGCAUGCCUGUUCGAGCGUCAUUUGAAACCUCAAGCUCAGCUUGGUGUUGGGUGUCUGUCCCGCCUCCGCGGGGACUCGCCUCAAAAUCAUUGGCGGCCGGUACGUUGGCUUCGAGCGCAGCAGAAACGCGAACUCGAGGCCCGGCGGAUCGGCGACCAGAAGUCUCUUCUUCACAGUUUGACCUCGGAUCAGGUAGGGAUACCCGCUGAACUUAAGCAUAUCAAUAAGCGGAGGA
rnacentral:misc_RNA from 1 species